rnacentral:rRNA from 1 species
GAUCAUGGCUCAGAUUGAACGCUGGCGGCAGGCCUAACACAUGCAAGUCGAACGGUAACAGGAAGAAGCUUGCUUCUUUGCUGACGAGUGGCGGACGGGUGAGUAAUGUCUGGGAAACUGCCUGAUGGAGGGGGGAUAACUACUGGAAACGGUAGCUAAUACCGCAUAACGUCGCAAGACCAAAGAGGGGGACCUUCGGGCCUCUUGCCAUCGGAUGUGCCCACGAUGGGGAUUAGCUUGUUGGUGGGGUAACGGG